GGCAACAACAACGGGCCGGUCCAGCAGUUCUCCAAGAAAGAGAUCGAGGACCUGCUGAGGAAAGGAGCCUACGCCGCCAUCAUGGACGAGAACGACGAAGGCAAUCGCUUCUGCUAGGAGGACAUCGACCAGAUCCUGCAGCGAAGAGCCACCAUCAACACCAUCACCAGUUUGCUUCAAGCAGUGGCUGCACGAGAAAGACGUGGAGGACCAAGAAAUGCUGGCCAGAUUGGCAAAGACCGGAAGAUACAUAACAGAGAAGAUAAUGAAUAUUAACAAGAAAAAUAAAAAAAAUGUUUAUAAUUUCUUUGUUGCUGUUUACAUUUUGAAUUAUAUUUGUUAUUUUUAAAUCAAAUGCAUCUUUUUUAGAUGAUAUAUUUAUUUAGAUGUAGGUUUUUUUUGUAAUAUUAUUGUAUUAAG